GAGUAACGCGUAAACAACCUGCCCUCGGAUGGGGAUACAGCCGAAACGGCUGCUAAUACCGAAUACGAUCUUUUCGUCGCAUGACGGAAAAGAAGAAAAAGGAUGGCCUCUAUACAAAGCUAUCGCCGAAGGAGGGGUUUGCGUCUGAUUAGCUGGUUGGAGGGUAACGGCCCAACAAGGCGACGAUCAGUAGCCGGUCUGAGAGGAUGAACGGCCACAUUGGGGCUGAGACACGGCCCAGACUCCUACGGGAGGCAGCAGUGGGGAAUCUUCCGCAAUGGACGAAAGUCUGACGGAGCAACGCCGCGUGAGUGAAGAAGGUCUUCGGAUUGUAAAGCUCUGUUAUACGGGACGAAAAGACGGAUGCCAACAGUAUCCGUCCGUGACGGUACCGUAAGAGAAAGCCACGGCUAACUACGUGCCAGCAGCCGCGGUAAAU
rnacentral:rRNA from 1 species